rnacentral:tRNA from 1 species
GGUGGCUCAGUAGUAGAGCGCUUGCCUUGCAGGCAUGAGGCCCUGGGUUUGAUCCUCAGCACCA